rnacentral:lncRNA from 1 species
UUUCCUUGAGCGAGCCUCCGCCGGCGUAUUUCCUCAAGAGGACAUUUGGGGAAACCAGAUGACGUCAGGUCUUCUCUCUCCCCUUUAUGCCCACAUUAUUCCCUGAAAGUCAACCGAUUGGAGGAAUAAAUACUGCAAUGUACAGGUAGAAGAGAAAGAUUCGUUCUUACGUUUAGAUUCGGGGCAAGGGAAGGGCUCCGGUCCGAGCUGCGGGGGCCUCUGAUCUCUGCCUCCCCAGAGGGCGUCAUCAUCCAUGGCCACCGAGAAGCAGGAGGGCGAGGUUCUCGGCUCCUCGCUUAUUCCACCGCGCGCCCAGGUAGGAGCCGCCCUUUCUCCGGGAGUCUCUCUCUUUUCGAUCGAAC